rnacentral:rRNA from 1 species
UACGUAGGGUGCGAGCGUUAAUCGGAAUUACUGGCGUAAAGCGUGCGCAGGCGGUUCGUUAUGUCCGAUGUGAAAGCCCCGAGCUCAACUUCGGAACUGCCUUUGAUACAGCACGUCUUGAGUCCGGAAGAGGUGGGUGGAAUUCCUAGUGUAGAGGUGAAAUUCGUAGAUAUUAGGAAGAACACCGGUGGCGAAGGCGGCCCACUGGUCCGGUACUGACGCUGAGGUGCGAAAGCGUGGGGAGCAAACAGG